GAAAAGUCGGAUUUAUUGGGCUAUACGGUAUUCUCGGGUAAGCUGGUUUUGGAUAAGAGAAAGAAUUCGGACAAGAAUACUUCUGAUGACACUGGUGUAGCCGAUCAAGAAGGUUUUGAUGCUAAACUUACUAGCACGGCCUUGGUAUGGGGUUCUCACAUGCUUAGUCUGGAGGAUGUCAUUUCAGUCUCGUACAAUGUUGG
rnacentral:misc_RNA from 1 species